rnacentral:rRNA from 1 species
UCCACGCCCUAAACGAUGUUCACUCGAUGUGUGGUCCUUGAGGCUGCGCAUCCAAGGGAAACCGUUAAGUGAACCACCUGGGGAGUACGACCGCAAGGUUGAAACUCAAAGGAAUUGACGGGGGUCCGGCACAAGCGGUGGAGCAUGUGGUUUAAUUCGAUGAUACGCGAGGAACCUUACCAGGGCUCGAACGCUAUACGACCUUCCCUGAAAGGGAAUUUCUUCGGAACGGA